AUCUCUGUGUGUGUGCAGGAAAGCUGCAAGGGUUUGCAAAGUUUGGGAGGAGCGGACGGAAUCAACUUAGUUAUACGUUGUCAAACACAUCGAAAAUUGAAGAAAAUCCGGAAUGAUUAUUAAUUAUUGGCAUAUCUGGCUACAUAUGCUGAAGUCGAGCCCUCGUGCCUCAGGAGGAGACCCUGUGUGGAAUAUUGAAGGGAGAGGAACAAGGGCCAUAUUGAUUAAGAUGAAUCGACAGAGGAACUUCAUUACGCGGUGAAGCAGCAUGAAAAAAUGAAUGGGUGAACAGAAAGGAAAAGUGAGGAAUAUCUGCCUUGGAAGUUAUCAGGCUCUAAAUGUCAAAAAGUGGAACUGAGCAAAUUUAACAAUAUGACAAGUUCCUUUCAGGCAAAUUCUCAGAAGACCUCUGAUGGGAGCUUCAGCACACUGAAACUGAAAGCAGCUCUGGGCAGUCCCGGGUUUUGGUAUAGAUUUUUCAAUCAGUUGUGGUGUGUGCCACAGAUAGAGAAAAAAACAUAUCAUUUUGAGUGGAUUUAGUUACACUCCACACAUCUCCAUGGCAAUUAAUGCCCUGGUUAGAAACUGUAUCUGCAAAGGAGAGGAUGGGGGAAAACGGUUUGAGAUUCCAUCAUUAAUUGUUUUUAGUAUUUUUAGAGUUAAGUGAGAAUGGUAAUUGAUAGUCCAUAUCAUUAUGGUUAAAAAAAAAUAAAAAUUUUAAAUAAAAAAAAAA